GAGGGUGACGGUGCCCGGACCCGGACGCGUUCCACCGGACACCGGGACGCAGGGAGGGAGAGCGACCCACCGGAGCCACGCGAGGACAAUGAGACCAGCACACUGCUCUCCCCUCUGUGUCGCUGAGAGGGGGACGCCGAUAGGAUUAUGCUGAUGUGGGAUGAAGCGUGUUCUAACCUGCUGAAUCAUGGCAGCACUUUGUUAUUCUAUGGGGGGGCCAUUCAGGGUCCAGCAUCUUGUCCAAGGACACUUCGGCAUGCAGAUGGGUCAGACUGGGGAUCGAGCCGCCGAGCUUCAGGUUGGAGUACGACCAGUCUACCCCUCAGCCGCAGCCGCUUUCGCCCCUAAGUAGGUCCGAAAGCAAAUUAAUCAAAUCUCCUCUUAACUAUACCUUUAUUUAUGUAAAAUACAUUUUUUUUAUGCUUGCAA